UACGUAGGGUGCGAGCGUUGUCCGGAAUUAUUGGGCGUAAAGAGCUUGUAGGCGGUUUGUCGCGUCUGCUGUGAAAAUCCGGGGCUCAACCCCGGACUUGCAGUGGGUACGGGCAGACUGGAGUGUGGUAGGGGAGACUGGAAUUCCUGGUGUAGCGGUGGAAUGCGCAGAUAUCAAGAGGAACACCUGCGGCGAAGGCGGGUUGCUGGGCCUGUACUGACGCUGAGGAGCGAAAGCGUGGGGAGCGAACAGG
rnacentral:rRNA from 1 species